AAUCCAUAGGUUAAUGAGGCGAACCGGGGGAACUGAAACAUCUAAGUACCCCGAGGAAAAGAAAUCAACCGAGAUUCCCCCAGUAGCGGCGAGCGAACGGGGAGGAGCCCAGAGCCUGAAUCAGCAUGUGUGUUAGUGGAAGCGUCUGGAAAGGCGCGCGAUACAGGGUGACAGCCCCGUACACAAAAGCGCAUGUGCUGUGAGCUCGAUGAGUAGGGCGGGACACGUGGUAUCCUGUCUGAAUAUGGGGGGACCAUCCUCCAAGGCUAAAUACUCCUGACUGACCGAUAGUGAACCAGUACCGUGAGGGAAAGGCGAAAAGAACCCCGGCGAGGGGAGUGAAAAAGAACCUGAAACCGUGUACGUACAAGCAGUGGGAGCACAGGUUUACCUGUGUGACUGCGUACCUUUUGUAUAAUGGGUCAGCGACUUAUAUUCUGUAGCAAGGUUAACCGAAUAGGGGAGCCGUAGGGAAACCGAGUCUUAACCGGGCGUUAAGUUGCAGGGUAUAGACCCGAAACCCGGUGAUCUAGCCAUGGGCAGGUUGAAGGUUGGGUAACACUAACUGGAGGACCGAACCGACUAAUGUUGAAAAAUUAGCGGAUGACCUGUGGCUGGGGGUGAAAGGCCAAUCAAACCGGGAGAUAGCUGGUUCUCCCCGAAAGCUAUUUAGGUAGCGCCUCGUGAAUUCAUCUCCGGGGGUAGAGCACUGUUUCGGCUAGGGGGCCAUCCCGGCUUACCAACCCGAUGCAAACUGCGAAUACCGGAGAAUGUUAUCACGGGAGACACACGGCGGGUGCUAACGUCCGUCGUGAAGAGGGAAACAACCCAGACCGCCAGCUAAGGUCCCAAAGUCAUGGUUAAGUGGGAAACGAUGUGGGAAGGCCCAGACAGCCAGGAUGUUGGCUUAGAAGCAGCCAUCAUUUAAAGAAAGCGUAAUAGCUCACUGGUCGAGUCGGCCUGCGCGGAAGAUGUAACGGGGCUAAACCAUGCACCGAAGCUGCGGCAGCGA
rnacentral:rRNA from 1 species